rnacentral:lncRNA from 1 species
CAUCUGUCCUUCUCCUCCUCUCUUUUACUGUCAGUUCUGGUUUGCCCAUCUUUGCGUGUACAUAACGCGGUUUUCUUUCUGAUGCUUCAGGAUGAACACAACAGGCAAGGCCAUCACUGAAGGCUACAAAGAAGUUAUCACAUUCACAACCACGUUUGACGAUGUGUCCCACAGCAAACCUAAUCUCGGAGCAUUCAAAAACCUCUCGUAUAACACAGUGCCCACAAAGCAGAGGACAAACACAAAUGGACAUUUUGCCACGUACACCGACAUUGGGUUUUCCAAUACCUCUUUCUGUGUAAAAUGGGUACAUUG